rnacentral:rRNA from 1 species
AGGGUUCGAUUCUGGCUCAGGAUGAACGCUGCGGGCGUGCUUACACAUGCAAAGUCGNANCGGAUCCAUCAAGCUUGCUGGUGGUGAGAGUGGCGAACGGGUGAGUAAUGCGUGACCGACCUGCCCCAUACACCGGAAUAGCUCCUGGAAACGGUGGUAAUGCCGGAUGCUCCAGUGNAUCGCAUGUUCUUCUGGGAAAGCUUUCGCGGUAUGGGAUGGGGUCGCGUCCUAUCAGCUUGACGGCGGGGUAACGGCCCACCGUGGCUUCGACGGGUAGCCGGCCUGAGAGGGCGACCGGCCACAUUGGGACUGAGAUACGGCCCAGACUCCUACGGGAGGCAGCAGUGGGGAAUAUUGCACAAUGGGCGCAAGCCUGAUGCAGCGACGCCGCGUGAGGGAUGGAGGCCUUCGGGUUGUAAACCUCUUUUAUCGGGGAGCAAGCGAGAGUGAGUUUACCCGUUGAAUAAGCACCGGCUAACUACGUGCCAGCAGCCGCGGUAAUACGUAGGGUGCAAGCGUUAUCCGGAAUUAUUGGGCGUAAAGGGCUCGUAGGCGGUUCGUCGCGUCCGGUGUGAAAGUCCAUCGCUUAACGGUGGAUCCGCGCCGGGUACGGGCGGGCUUGAGUGCGGUAGGGGAGACUGGAAUUCCCGGUGUAACGGUGGAAUGUGUAGAUAUCGGGAAGAACACCAAUGGCGAAGGCAGGUCUCUGGGCCGUUACUGACGCUGAGGAGCGAAAGCGUGGGGAGCGAACAGGAUUAGAUACCCUGGUAGUCCACGCCGUAAACGGUGGAUGCUGGAUGUGGGGCCCGUUCCACGGGUUCCGUGUCGGAGCUAACGCGUUAAGCAUCCCGCCUGGGGAGUACGGCCGCAAGGCUAAAACUCAAAGAAAUUGACGGGGGCCCGCACAAGCGGCGGAGCAUGCGGAUUAAUUCGAUGCAACGCGAAGAACCUUACCUGGGCUUGACAUGUUCCCGACGGUCGUAGAGAUACGGCUUACGUUCGGGGCGGGUUCACAGGUGGGCA